CUUUACUUGUUAAAGGUUGCCGACCCCUGAUCUAGAAAUUCUGUACAUAAACAUCAUGAACAAAACAAGGGCAGCUCAACAUGUCCAACAUGCACUGGGAACAGGUCUGACUUACAGCCAGUAAUGAACACCGCUCUGGCUCCAGUCAUACAGGGAGCGGACAGCUCUUAGCAAAGAGCCCCAAACCCCAUACUCCCAGAGCACCUGCCCAAAGGACACCACGUCUUCUCCAGAUCCAUAAAGCUCAUGUGGGCUGGUUGAGCAAACUCCCAUGAAGCCUCAAGGACCCAAUGGAGAGUAUAGAGCUGGUCCAGUGUUCCGCGACCUGGACAAAAACCACACUGCUCCUCCAGAAUCCGAGGUUCGACUAUUGGUCAAAUUCUCAUCUCCAGUCCACUGGAAUAGACCUUACCGGGAAGGCUGAGGAGUGUGAUUCCCCUGUAAUUGGAACACACCCUUCUUAUACAGAGGGACCACCAUCCCGGUCUGCCAAUCUAGCGUUACUGUCCCCAACCGCCACUCAAUGUUGAGGUACUCAAAAAGUAUCUCCCGGGGGCCUUGCCCCCGAGGAGCUUGCCAACCACCUCAGUGACUUCAUCCACCUCCAGGUCCCCAGUCUCUGCUUCCUGCUCAGAAGACGUGAUGGUGAGAUUGAGGAGAUCUUCAAAGUAUUUCUUCCACCGCUGACAAUAUCCCCAGUCGAGGUCAGCAGCUCUCCACCCGCACUGUAAACAGUGUCGGUGAAGCACUCCUUCCUUCUGAGGCAUCGGACGGUUUGCCAGAAUCUUUUUGAGGCCAUCCGAUAGUCCUCCUCCAUGGCCUCUCCGAACUCCUCCCAACCCCGAGUUUUGCCUCUCCGACCGCAUGAGCCGUGGCACACUUGGCCUGCUGGUACUCGUCAGCUGCCCUAGGAGUCCAUAGGUCUCCUUCCUUCAGCAUCACUUACUUUUGGUGUCCACCACCGGGCUUGCCGCCAUGACAAGCAUCGCAGACCUUAGGACCACAGAUAUGAGCAGCCACAUCAACAAUAGGGGUGGAGAACACGGCCAACUCGGAGUCCAUUUUUCCCAAUCACACCCCUCCAGGUGUCUCUGUGGUUACCCACAUGGGCAUUGAAAUCCCAUAGGAGAAUAAUGGAGCCCCCGGUUGGUACACUGUCUAGUACCCCUCCCAGGGAUUCCAGCAAGGCCAGGUACUCUGUACUGCUGUUUGGCCUGUAGACCGACAUAACAGUGAGAGACCUGUCCUCGACCCAGAGGCACAGGGACACGACCCUGUAGUUCACUGAAGUGAACUCAAACACAUGGCGGCUGUAAUCGUGAAGGAAGAGAUUGAAGACCAGAAAUGGACUCUGUGCAAAGGAUGUUGUGAAAUGUUUUGUAGGCGAAUGUCAAGAUGACCCUUGUGAGAGGAACCAGAUGCCAGAUUGAGCUCAGAUCCCGUCUCACUUCCCUAAAUUUUGGCGUCACGACAUUCAGGAGGAAAGAGAGGCCGAUACAGGCGACACACGGCAGAAUCAGGUAAGUAUAGAUUUCUUACUCCGCUGGUUGUCGCUUUUGAGUAUUGGUGUUUUUCCAAAAAACUGUGUGCUGGGGUUGACCCAAGGGGAUGUAGACGCAGUAAAUUGAGAAACAAAUUAGUUACGUAGUAAUCGCUUUUGGUAUGUUACGCAAAAUAAAGGAAGAUAAUGGAAAAAAAGGAAACCUAAGGGCAGUCUUUUGACCACGUAAAUAUAGGGGUUUAGCACCGCUGGCUGAGGAACUGAUCAGCAGGACGAAAAUUGGGGCGAAAUGUGUAGGCCAGGACUGAGAUGCUGGUUCUGACCAUAAAACUUUAAAAUACUGACUGCAGGGCGUUAACUCUCUGAUAAAAGCAGGUCUGCCUAGAAUAGGGGCCCCAAAUGAGUAGACAUUCCUAAGGUGAGAUUGGAACCCUGUGUGAAGAAAAAAGGGCGAGUGUAGCCAGGAGCAUCACAAAAAAUUUUGAGGCAGUGUCAGGGAGGAGAGAACGCAGCUCUGUGCCGUUUUGACCUUAAAAGUGAGAAAUAGUAUUUGGUUCAAGUUAAAUUUUCGGAGUUUGUGGGCUACAGAGUUUAAGGAGAAAGAAUAAGUGCACGAGGGAGGUGCCAGGGGAGGACUGAUCACCCUUUCUGGGCAAUCUCUUUAGGGAUAAACCUCUUGAGUGUACACUGGAGAUGGCCAAAAAUCCUGCGUCAGCGCUGUUUGUUAAAUAUGUAAAUACAUUUUAAAGUCUAGACAGCAUAUUAUAUAAAAUAGUGUUGUAUUCAGUUCAUUGUUGUACAUAGUGCCAUAAACUGCUCUUCUCUAUGCUUGGCUCUGUAGUCUUCACUCUCGCAUGCGUGUGAUGCGAGAGGGAGGAAAGCUGGCUUGGCCUGAGGUGAACCCUAGUGAGUGAGAGCAGCCCCCACCAUCAAAUAUUUUAGACUUAGAAAGGCGCGCACACGACACGGCGCGCGAGAGCAGCCCCCACCUUUGCGGAUUUGGGAC
ensembl:lncRNA